GAUGAACGCUGGCGGCGUGCCUAAUACAUGCAAGUCGAGCGAACAGACGAGGAGCUUGCUCCUCUGACGUUAGCGGCGGACGGGUGAGUAACACGUGGAUAACCUACCUAUAAGACUGGGAUAACUUCGGGAAACCGGAGCUAAUACCGGAUAAUAUAUUGAACCGCAUGGUUCAAUAGUGAAAGACGGUUUUGCUGUCACUUAUAGAUGGAUCCGCGCCGCAUUAGCUAGUUGGUAAGGUAACGGCUUACCAAGGCAACGAUGCGUAGCCGACCUGAGAGGGGGGACGGGCACACCGGAACCUAGAACAGGGCCAGACUCCUACGGGAGGCAGCAGUAGGGAAUCUUCCGCAAUGGGCGAAAGCCUGACGGAGCAACGCCGCGUGAGUGAUGAAGGUCUUCGGAUCGUAAAACUCUGUUAUUAGGGAAGAACAAAUGUGUAAGUAACUAUGCACGUCUUGACGGUACCUAAUCAGAAAGCCACGGCUAACUACGUG
rnacentral:rRNA from 1 species